AAAGACUCAAAAAAGAACUGAUCUGAUUUAACAUGGACAGAUGCUUUCUGCUUAUUGUUAUUAUGGGAAUAGGUUUGGUGUCUGGGAACAGUAUUGAGCCAGAUAAAGAGAAAAAUGUUAUCAAACAAGAAAGAGAAACUGUCAAGCUGAGCUGCUCAUUUAUUACAACCAGCAAUAACAUUCGGCUUUACUGGUACAGACAGAAUCUACAUGGAGAACUUUUGUUUUUAGCAUAUAAAGGUGCUCGAUCAUUGAGUGCUACACGCACCUCUGAUAAUCGGUUUCAGUCGACUACAUCAGAUACAUCAACUGAACUUACUAUUACUAAUGUAACUCUGACAGAUUCAGCUCUCUAUUAUUGUGCUCUAAGAGUUGGAGCCCAGUGAUAC